AACGAACGCUGGCGGCGUGCCUAACACAUGCAAGUCGUGCGAGAAAGUUCCUUCGGGAGCGAGUAAAGCGGCGCACGGGUGAGUAACACGUAGGUAACCUGCCCCCCAGUCUGGAACAACUAGAGGAAACUCUAGCUAAUGCCGGAUGAGACCACGAUCCCUUCGGGGGUUGCGGCCAAAGAUGGCCUCUACUUGUAAGCUAUCGCUGAGGGAUGGGCCUGCGGGCCAUUAGCUUGUUGGUGAGGUAACGGCUCACCAAGGCUGUGAUGGCUAGCUGGUCUGAGAGGAUGACCAGCCACACUGGGACUGAGACACGGCCCAGACUCCUACGGGAGGCAGCAGUGGGAAUAUUGCGCAAUGGGCGAAAGCCUGACGCAGCGACGCCGCGUGGGUGAUGAAGGCC
rnacentral:rRNA from 1 species